rnacentral:rRNA from 1 species
GAUGAACGCUGGCGGCGUGCUUAACACAUGCAAGUCGAACGGAAAGGCCACAGCUUGCUGUGGUACUCGAGUGGCGAACGGGUGAGUAACACGUGGGUGAUCUGCCCUGUACUUCGGGAUAAGCUUGGGAAACUGGGUCUAAUACCGGAUAGGAAUCACAUGUGGGUGUGUGGUUGGAAAGCUUUUGCGGUAUGGGAUGAGCUCGCGGCCUAUCAGCUUGUUGGUGGGGUAUUGGCCUACCAAGGCGUCGACGGGUAGCCGGCCUGUGAGGGUGUACGGCGACAUGGGGACUGAGAUACGGCCCAGAAUCCUACGGGAGGCAGCAGUGGGGAAUAUGGCACAAUGGGCGCAAGCCUGAUGCAGCGACGCCGCGUGGGGGAUGACGGCCUUCGGGUUGUAAACUCCUUUCGUCAGGGACGAAGCGAAAGUGACGGUACCUGGAGAAGAAGCACCGGCUAACUACGUG